AUUGAACGCUGGCGGCAGGCCUAACACAUGCAAGUCGAGCGAGCGGCGGACGGGUGAGUAAUGUAUGGGGACUGCCCGCUAGAGGGGGAUAACUACUGGAAACGGUAGCUAAUACCGCAUACUAGCGGAUAACCCAUAUGGGAUUAGAUAGUAGGUGAGGUAAUGGCUCACCUAGGCGACGCACCCUAGCUGGUCUGCGGGGAUGUUCAGCCACACUGGGACUGAGACACGGCCCAGACUCCUACGGAGGCAGCAGUGGGGAAUAUUGCACAAUGGGCGCAAGCCUGAUGCAGCCAUGCCGCGUGUAUGAAGAAGGCCUUAGGGUUGUAAAGUACUUUCAGUCGGGAGGCGUUACCGACAGAAGAAGCACCGGCUAACUCCGUGCCAGCAGCCGCGGUAAUUC
rnacentral:rRNA from 1 species